AUUGAACGCUGGCGGUAUGCUUAACACAUGCAAGUCGGACGGCAGCAUAGUCUGUAGCAAUACGAACUGAUGGCGAGUGGCGGACGGGUGAGAAACGCGUAGGAAUCUGCCUUAUAGAGGGGGACAACUAGAGGAAACUCUAGCUAAUACCGCAUAAAGUCUAAGGACCAAAAGCUGGGGCAACCUGGCGCUAUAAGAGGAGCCUGCGUCCGAUUAGCUAGUUGGUAGGGUAAGAGCCUACCAAGGCGAUGAUCGGUAGCUGGUCUGAGAGGAUGAUCAGCCACACUGGGACUGAGACACGGCCCAGACGCCUACGGGAGGCAGCAGUGGGGAAUAUUGGACAAUGGGGGCAACCCUGAUCCAGCAAUACCGCGUGUGCGAAGAAGGCCUUCGGGUUGUAAAGCACUUUAGGUUGGGAAGAAGGUAAGUUGUUUAAGAGAUGACUUAUUUGACUGUACCAACAGAAUAAGCACCGGCUAACUCUGUGCCAGCAGCCGCAGUAA
rnacentral:rRNA from 1 species